rnacentral:rRNA from 1 species
AACGACUCUCGGCAACGGAUAUCUCGGCUCUCGCAUCGAUGAAGAACGUAGCGAAAUGCGAUACUUGGUGUGAAUUGCAGAAUCCCGUGAACCAUCGAGUCUUUGAACGCAAGUUGCGCCCUAAGCCAUCAGGCCGAGGGCACGUCUGCCUGGGUGUCACGCAU